CUUCCCCACCUCUCCGAGAGCUUGCAUCUCUUUCUAUAUAUUUCUUUCUUCUUCUUUCCUCCUCCGAUCACUUUCUCUCUCUCUCUCUGUCUAUAUAUAUAUACCUCCAUAUAUUCCUUUCUUCUCUUUCUUCUCCUCCUCCUCUUCUCCUCUAUCCACACCAUAAAAAAGAUCAUCAGCUGAACUCCAAACUAAGGCGGAGAUAAUCUGUCGUAUUAAAGGCGAGGCAAAAGAGAAGAGAAAUAGAAAGGUGGAUCGAAGGCAUGGAAGAGGCUCACCCCAACGAGCGGAGGAGAAGGAAGGAGAGGCGCGUUCUCUCCUACACCGCGGCGCGUGCCGAUCAGGACGCGUCGGCCGUGGUGACGGCCUCGCGCAUGUGAUCAGCUCGAGCUCUUCGGGGGUGGGAGUGGGAAUGGGAAGGGCGGAGCCUGCGGUGAUCCAGCCGAGUUGAACCAACCCAUGGCCGGGCCGGGUUCGGGGAGCAUGGAGAGACAGCUCAGCCAGCCUUCAGAAGAGCAAGCACUAGAUUGCUCUUGGGCAUGUUGCUGAACGUUGUCAGCAUAAGAAUCAAACGUUACAAUAUUUAGAAAUGCAGGGCAGCAUGAUCACAAACAUCGUUUUAUCUCUCUCAUUCUUUCAUUUGGUAAACCCUUAAAUGAAGGGGAAAUGUGAGGAGAAGACACUACAGGGGAGUGAGGCAAAGGCCAUGGGGGAAAUGGGCAGCAGAGAUAAGAGAUCCAGGAAGGCAGCGAGAGUAUGGCUAGGGACCUACAACACGGCCGAAGAAAGCUGCCAUGGCCUACGAUGAGGCAGCUCUGAGGUUCAAAGGCACAAGGCAAGCUCAAUUUUCCCGAGAGAGUUCAAGCCCGCACCGAUCUCGGCUUCUUGGUUAGUCGGGGGAUCCCAGAGGCGACCGCCGGAGCCCAUCACCCCACAGGCAGCAGCAUCAUACCCGGACCUCCUUCAUUAUGGCUCAGCUCCUCCAAAGUGGAGAUGAGGACUUGCAGAAGUGUGGCAUCGGGGCUCUUCAUUGGAGACCCUUUCACGUCGGGGUCUUUCUCAAGUGUCACAACCUUCUAUCGCGGGGUCCUCCCAAGAGUUUUCGGAUUUCUCUUCGCCAGUUGGGGAGCUCUUCUUCCUCUAAGCUCAAGGCCUCGUGGAGGACCAGAAGGAUAAAGACAGCAACCAGCAGCCGUGAGAGUGGUGACCAACGUGUUGAGUUGGUGCAACGGCGAGAGGGAGAGAGAAGGAUGGGACUACAGGGAAGUGAUGAUUGUCUUUUGUGGUUCUUUUGAUUGGUUUGAUUCCUGUUUUGGGGCAACUUUGGAGUGUUAAUGUACUAGAAUGCAAGUGCAAUGCCAAAAUGUAAAAGAGGUACCAAAAAAGAGAGAAUGGUAGUGUGAGGAGGACUCUUGGUGCUUGAUUAAUUUGGUCUUUGUUAGUGUUUUUCCAUGGGCUUUUUCUUUGGUUUGUUGCUUAUCCUUUCAAUGGUUCUUUGCUGUUUUUAAAGUAGAAAGAAUCCCAUCUUUCCAGCAACAAAUAGGGAAUGAAAAGAGGAGACUUCAUGUAUGGCUAGCUUCAGAUUACUUUCUCUCCAGCUCCUGUUAAUGAAAAGCUUUCACACUCUAUAGAUC